rnacentral:tRNA from 1 species
GGGGACGUAGCUCAGUUGGUAGAGCACCUGCUUUGCAAGCAGGAAGUCGCGGGUUCGAGUCCCGCCGUCUCCA